rnacentral:lncRNA from 10 species
AGCCCCGGGACCUUCUCUCUGUUUGUGGUUGGGUUCAGGGGCCUGCACUCUGUCUACAGGUAUCACAAAUAAAAUGUUGUUAGCAGCUGAAUGAUAUUGACAGACCUAUCAGCAAUCUGCAGAUUUUCAUUUUGAACUGUGGCAUCCUGAAAUAAGUUGAAGCAGAAAUAAUAUCUCUGUGUUGAGAGAUUUCAAAUUCUUUUUAUUGAUAGGUAAACUACAGCUCUAGAUAUAACUAAGUGAAGCACGGCUGGAGAGGGAAGAAAUAACACCUGGACUGCUGACUGCCGUCGUGGAAGGGCAAAACAAGAGGACACAAAUGCAUCCAGCUAUUCUCUGUGCUGCUUGGUGUAAUAGAUUAAACUUCAAUGCACCUUGGGCUCUUUUCAUGGGCUUUGCCUGUCACCUUUACACCCUUCAGAGUUCUAUAAGGAAUUAUCAGCACUACGACUCUUUGGCAGUCUUAGUGGGAAACCCUGGGAGGUCAGGAAUAUGGGCCUGUGAAAUGACAUCUUCCUGCCUCGUCCAAAGAUAGCAUUCAUCAUCAUUUAGGCAGAUGUAUGAUGCUGCUAGGCAAAACGCCAGCCAUGGAUCACAUUGGUGUCCCAUUACAGAGCCUACGCUGUCCCAGUGUCUACACAGAGUGGGAAUCUCAAGGCUGGAUACUGAGAGCCUUCCUGGAACUUCAGGGAAAAUAAAUGUACUAAAUCAGUUGGUUAAUUAUCUGUGUCAUUGACCUUGGUGCCUUAAUGGAAAAAUAUGGUUCAGAUAUUACAUGGCUAUAAACAAAAAAUUAUAAGUAGCAUCCAGUGUGUAAUUGACAGAUUUGAGUGCAUUUAAUAGUGUGCAAUGAAAUAAGUCAUCCAGGCCAAAACAAAUGCCUUUCUUUUUUCUUGAUUCCAUACAUUUCUUGUUUGCCUGACAUAUGCCUCACUGUGUUUCUUUAAGAUCAAUACAAUGUGUCUUCUAACUUCAUUUGUCUUUUGAUUAAAACUGCCUGUUGAACAAAGCUGCUAGGAGAGCUUCCCUAUCUCCUAAUUGUCAGAGAGUCCUCUCAAUUUUUUUAACCUUGCCAAAAGCUGACAUUCAGCUUCAUUGGCACAGAUCCUUGCUUCACAGAGAUAUGAGCUAUCGAAUCAAUGAUUGCUUUGUAACACGGUUUGCCAUCCAUUCCGUGGACCUAAGCAUAGCAUGCAAAUGCAUCAUUGAACAAAUCCCAAAGGCAUAAGACUGUAUGAAAGGAAGGUAAAAUAGGAAAACAUAGAUGGAGAUGCCAGGCCUAACUCAUCCACCCUACAUAAAGCAGGCAUCUCUGAGUAUUGGCUGGAUUCACUAGAAACUCAGUGCCCAUUUUUCUUUUUUUUUUUUUUUUUUUUUUUUUUUUUUGAGAUGAAGUCUCACUCUUGUCUCCCAGGCUGGAGCACAGUGGCGUGAUCUUGGCUCACUGCAACCUCUGCCUCUGGGGUUCAAGCGAUUCUCCUACCUCAGGCUCCCAAGUACCUGGGAUUACAGGUGCCAAGCAUGGUGGCAGGUAUAUUUUUGUAUUUUUAGUAGAGACAGGGUUUCACCAUGUUGGCCAGGCUGGUCUCGAACUCCUGACCUCAGGUGAUCACCCGCCUCGGCCUCGCAAAGUGCUGGGACUACAGGUGUGAACUACCACGUCUGACCUAGUGUCCAUUUCUCUAAUCAGCCAACCAUGGCUCACCUUGGGCCCAAUGCUUGAGGCUUCAUGGCCCUAACAACACAUAGGAGAAUCACCAUUGUCAUGGUGAUUCUUCUAGCAGUUUUAUAAGUCUGAAUUCUCAUCUUCCUCUCCCUGCCAGAAGAUAAGGGAACCAGACUCCAAGUAUUUCCUGAAUAUGUAGGCUUGUUGCAAAAUCAUACAGAGAAGACAAAUUAUAUUCUUGAAAAGACGGUGAUAUUCCUAUAUAGAAAUAGUAGUUAAAAUAGCCAGGUUCUUAAAAUCUUUUUUUUUGUUUUUUGAGAUGGAGUUUCGCUCUUGUUACACAGGCUGGAGUGCAGUGAUGCGAUCUUGGCUCACUUCAACCUCCGCCUUCCAGUUCAAGUGAUUCUCCUGCCUCACCCUCCUGCGUAGCUGGGAUUACAGGCAUGUGCCAUCACGCCUGGCUAAUUUUCUGUUUUUAGUAGAGACAGGGUUUCAUCAUGUUGGCCAGGCUGGUCUCAAACUCCUGACCUCAGGUGAUCCACCCACCUCAGGCUCCCAAAGUGCUGGGAUUAUAGACGUGAGCCACUGUGGCCAGCUAAAAUCAUUUUUACCACUGUUGUCUUGACUCUUACCUUUCCUGCCCUGGUACAUCUAGACCUCUCUGUCCUACCCCAGUCCCCCUCUUUAUCCUGAGAACGCCUGACUCUAGGAGUGUUCUGCUGUUGGCUCUUGAAUGCUCCAUGUGACCCAGACUGGCACCUGGAAGGAAAAGAGACUGUGCUACUGUGACUUGGUUGUAGCAAGAGCCAGCCAUCUCAGCAGUUCUUUGAUUGCAUUCAUUCAUUUAUUCCCUAAAUUAUUAUUCGUGUAUUUCCUUAACUCAGAAGAUGCAAGCAAGUCACGUCGAUACAGUUUACCAUCUUGUGUGGGAGAUGGGCAUUAAAUAGAAUUACAGAAGCAGUGAAUGGGGGAUGUGUAUGAUGAAAGCUGCGAUGGAGGGGAGGAAGGAGAUCAGCCUGCAAUGAGGAUACAUGCUCCUAAGCAGGGAACUCGGGAAGAUUUCCUAGUGAAAUGACAUGUCCGCUGAAGCCUAGAGGCUGAGUAGAACACGUCCAAGCAAACGAGGAAAAAGGCCAACAGUGUUUCUCGCAGAAAGAACAGGAUUUGUAAAAGUGCUGUGGAAAGAAAGAGCUCUAUGAGUGGGAGGAACUGAGAAAAAACUCCUGGCAGGGCUCAGGGAAGGAGAGAGAUGGAAAAGGAUAAUGAUGCCAGCAAAGGUCGCAUCACGCAAGGCUUUGUAGGGCUCAUUAAGGAGUUUGGACUUUAUCUUAAGAGCAAUGGGAAGUCACAGAAGAAUUUUAAGCUGGGUGGUGACAUGGUCUAAGUGUAUCUUAAAAGAUCACUCAGUGUUUUAUGGAGCAUAGAUAUGGUAUUGUCCCAUAGACUUCUAUGUUCCAUAGAAGAUCUUUUUGGUCAUUGUGGUCAACAAUUCCAAAAAAAAAUCUUGAUGACUUGAAUUAAGUAACAGCAGAAAUUAAAAGAAGUUGAGAGCUUCAGCAAAUACCUCAAAAUGGGUGUUGGCUGGAAUUGAUUAUUUGAGGGGAGGUAGGAGGAGGAGUAUAAAAGACAUCUCUCAGGUUCUCACAUAAGAAGUUGAAUGAGUUGUGUCAUUUUACAGUUUUCAGGAAUACCUGAGGAAGAAAUAAAUUUGAAGAAAAAGAUUAUACAAUGAGUUUUUGACAGGUUAAAUUUGAGGGACCUGUGAGAAAUCAAAGUAGACAUGGUUGAGUAGGUUGGUAGAGGUGUAAGUCCAUGAAAAAUGUAUGUUGAUUAAUUUUAUGUGUCAACUUCACUGGGCCACAGGGUACCCAGAUAUUUGGUCAAAUAUUAUUCUGGGUGUUCCUGUGAGGGUGUUUUGGGAUGAGAUUAAUGUUUGAAUCAGUAGACUGAAUAAAGCAGUUGCUCUCUCAAAUGUGGGUGGGCCUCAUCCAAUCUGUUGAAGGCCUGAAUACAACACAAAAGCCAACCUCC